AACACAUGCAAGUCGAACGGCAGCGCGGGCUUCGGCCUGGCGGCGAGUGGCGAACGGGUGAGUAAUACAUCGGAACGUGCCCUGUUGUGGGGGAUAACUAGUCGAAAGAUUAGCUAAUACCGCAUACGACCUGAGGGUGAAAGCGGGGGACCGCAAGGCCUCGCGCAAUAGGAGCGGCCGAUGUCUGAUUAGCUAGUUGGUGGGGUAAAGGCCUACCAAGGCGACGAUCAGUAGCUGGUCUGAGAGGACGAUCAGCCACACUGGGACUGAGACACGGCCCAGACUCCUACGGGAGGCAGCAGUGGGGAAUAUUGGACAAUGGGCGAAAGCCUGAUCCAGCAAUGCCGCGUGAGUGAUGAAGGCCUUAGGGUUGUAAAGCUCUUUU
rnacentral:rRNA from 1 species